GAGAGCACAGUACGAUGAAAGUUGUAAGCUGUGUUCGGGGGGGAGUUAUUGUCUAUCGUUGGCCUCUAUGGUCAGGCACUGGCGAUGACGCCGUCUUGGGCUCCACGGUGACCUCCAU
rnacentral:ncRNA from 1 species